GGCUCCAUAGUUCAAGGGAUAGAAUAAUAGUUUCCUAAACUGUAGAUCUAGGUUCGAGUCCUAGUGGAGUCA
rnacentral:tRNA from 1 species